CUAAGUUUGAUGGCGACCGGCGCACGGGUGAGUAACACGUAUCCAACCUGCCGAUGACUCGGGGAUAGCCUUUCGAAAGAAAGAUUAAUACCCGAUGGCAUAGUUCUUCCGCAUGGUGGAACUAUUAAAGAAAUUUCGGUCAUCGAUGGGGAUGCGUUCCAUUAGGUUGUUGGCGGGGUAACGGCCCACCAAGCCUUCGAUAGAUAGGGGUUCUGAGAGGAAGGUCCCCCACAUUGGAACUGAGACACGGUCCAAACUCCUACGGGAGGCAGCAUG
rnacentral:rRNA from 1 species